rnacentral:rRNA from 1 species
AACAAACGCUGGCGGCGUGCCUAAUACAUGCAAGUCGAACGGGGAAAGCUUUCGGGUGAGUACUAGUGGCGCACGGGUGAGGAACGCGUGGAUAAUCUGCCUUAGAGUGGGGGAUAACUAGUCGAAAGAUUAGCUAAUCCCGCAUAAGACCACAGGAGCUGCGGCUCUAGGGGUCAAAGGUUUUUCGCUCUAAGAUGAGUCCGCGUAAGAUUAGCUAGUUGGUGAGGUAACGGCUCACCAAGGCGACGAUCUUUAACUGGUCUGAGAGGAUGAUCAGUCACACUGGAACUGAGACACGGUCCAGACUCCUACGGGAGGCAGCAGUAGGGAAUAUUGCACAAUGGAGGAAACUCUGAUGCAGCGACGCCGCGUGAGUGAUGAAGGCCUUCGGGUCGUAAAGCUCUGUCGCAGGGGAAUAACACGAUGAAUGUACCCUGUAAGAAAGGAUCGGCUAACUUCGUGCCAGCCGCCGCCGUAAUAC